CCUACGGGGCGCUGCAGUGGGGGAUAUUGCACAAUGGGGGGAACCCUGAUGCAGCGAUGCCGCGUGGGUGAAGAAGCGCCUCGGCGCGUAAAGCCCUGUCAGCAGGGAAGAAAAUGACGGUACCUGAAGAAGAAGCCCCGGCUAACUACGUGCCAGAAGGCGCCGUAAUACGUAGGGGGACAGCGUUAUCCGGAUUUACUGGGUGUAAAGGGGGCGCAGACGGCGAUGCAAGCCAGGAGUGAAAGCCCGGGGGCCAACCCCGGGACUGCUCUUGGAACUGCGUGGCUGGAGUGCAGGAGGGGCAGGCGGAAGUCCUGGGGUAGCGGUGAAAUGCGUAGUUAUCAGGAGGAACACCGGUGGCGAAGGCGGCCUGCUGGACUGCAACUGACGUUGCGUCCCGAAAGCGUGGGGAGCAAACAGGAUUAGAUACCCUAGUAGUC
rnacentral:rRNA from 1 species